rnacentral:rRNA from 1 species
CAGAAAAGUUACCCCGGGGAUAACUGAGUUGUCUUCAGUAAGAGCCCCUAUCGACCUGAAGGCUUGCUACUUCGAUGUCGUCUCUCCGCAUCCUGGUGGUGCAGCAGCUGCCAAGGGUGAGGUUGUUCGCCUAUUAAAGCGGAUCGUGAGAUGGGUUUAGACCGUCGUGAGACAGGUUUGUUGCUAACUUCUAGAAGCGUAUGAUGCUUGAGGGGAAAGACCCCUUAGUACGAGAGGAACAGGGGUCUGUAGCCACUAGUUUACCAGUUGUCCGACAGGGCAAUGCUGGGCAGCCACGCUGUAAGGGAUAAAUGCUGAAAGCAUCUAAGCAUGAAACUCACCCCGAGACGAGGCAUCAUAGAACUCGAAUAAAAGAUUCGUUUGAUAGAGUUAGGGUGUACGCACAAAGCUUCGGCGAUGUGUUCAGCCCGUAACUACUAAUCGUUCAUUUAACUGGCUCA